AUGGCGCCGUCGCCGCCCACCGCCCCCAAGACCAUCGCCGACUUCUUCGUCCGCCCCGCCAAGCGCCUCCGCUCCGGCGCAACCACCACCACCGUCGUCGUCCCCGCCGCCUCCCUCUCCCCCUCCUCCGGCCCCUCGGACCCCACCUCGCUCUCGCCGGAGCAGCGCCGCAGGGCCGACACCAACCUCGCGCUCGCCCGCGCGCGCCGCAACCUCCGCCUCGCCGAGUCCAAAGCGGCCGGCGGCGGCGCGAAGCUGGAGGAGCUGCUCGUGGAGGAGACGUGGCUGGAGGCGCUGUCCGGGGAGCUGCGCAAGCCUUACGCGCUCGACCUCUGCCGCUUCGUCGCCCACGAGCGCCUGCACGCCAAGGUGCCCGUCUACCCGCCGCCGCACCUCGUCUUCCACGCGCUCCACACCACCCCCUUCCACAGCGUCAAAGCCGUCAUCAUCGGCCAGGAUCCAUACCAUGGUCCUGGCCAGGCCAUGGGAUUGUCGUUUUCAGUACCAGAGGGGAUCAAAAUUCCUUCCAGCUUACAAAACAUAUUUAAAGAGCUGCAUAAAGAUCUAGGGUGUACUAUACCAUCCCAUGGGAAUUUGGAAAGAUGGGCUGUGCAGGGUAUUCUUAUGCUCAAUACCGUGCUAACAGUGAGGGAACACCAAGCCAACUCGCAUGCCAAGAAAGGAUGGGAGCAGUUCACUGAUGCUGUCAUUAAGACAGUAUCACAAAAGAAAUCAGGAUUAGUCUUUAUUCUCUGGGGAAACUCAGCUCAAGCGAAGAUAAGAUUGAUUGAUGAAACAAAACAUCACAUUCUAAAAUCUGCUCAUCCGUCAGGCCUGUCUGCAAACAGAGGUUUCUUUGGAUGCAGGCACUUUUCGCAGACGAAUCAGAUCCUGGAGAGGCUUGGGCUAUCCACCAUCGAUUGGCAGCUCUGA
rnacentral:rRNA from 1 species